rnacentral:misc_RNA from 1 species
UGCUGCCGCCUGGGCGUUGGUGUGCCCCCCUCCUGCUUCAGCAGAAGUAGCGGCGCUGAUGGCGUACUGAUGUUUGGUGUAUGCUUAUCUGUAGGAUGUUGAGUGCGUAGGGCUGCGCAUCUAGUUUCUGUGCCUCUUGGUGCCGUCUUGCAUCUCUGUAUGUGCGUGUAGAUGUGUAUCUACAUGUAUGUAUCCGCCUCUCUUCUCAGGUGAUGUGGCGGCCCGUUGUCGGCUCGACAUUGGGAAGCGGGUGAGGGACAGCGCUGCGUCUAGCAUCCUUCGCUCGGAGUCUUUACCGCGCCUGCGCUCGCGUAUUCGAGAGCGUAUCGAUCUCUCUGCUCGAAAUGUCAACCGCAGACAUAGUACCCUUCACGUGCGUUCGACAGAACACCAAGCGAUGGGGCGAAAGGGGGCGCUGAAGAGCGAGACGGAAAUCGCGGAGGGCUGAGGUGCGCACGCGCUUUGGACCCCCUCUUUUUCUCCCCUGCCUCCUUUCUACGUGGCCCCCUCCUCCUUUUCCCCUCCGCCGGUGUCUCGAGAACACUUCUUGUGCUGCUGUUGGGCCUCCCUCUCGUGGAAGAACACAUAAAACGAGCGCGAAGAUGCAUGCGCAUGGACGUACGGCCGCACGCCGGCACGACUUGCGAAGGCUUGUGUGAGCGGUUGUGUAAGUUUGUGGACGUGUUUCGUGCAUGUUGGCAGGCAAGUGGCGGGCAGCGGCUCUUUCUGUGCGCUCCUCACAACGAAGAAGUGCAAACAUUGAUCGAAUAUUUUCUAAUGGGGCGCUUGAGCCGGCGCACGCCAUCCGCUCUCGCUUCCUCCCUCUUGAGCGCGUCACAGAGCAUUAUUCUCUCUCAGUCUUGCGUGCGCGCACACACACCGCUUUUGCGCGCUCUCUGUGGACCUGCAUAUGGCGACGAUGCGCUGCUCUUGCUGUUACUCUCCUUGCGUCGCUCGCUCGUUUCUUUUCCACUCCUGCCUAAAG